GGGGAUGUAGCUCAGUGGUAGAGCGUCCGCUUCGCAUGCGGAAGGCCCGGGGUUCGGUACCCCGCAUCUCCA
rnacentral:tRNA from 1 species